rnacentral:rRNA from 1 species
UACACUCCUACGGGAGGCAGCAGUGGGGAAUUUUACGCAAUGGGGGAAACCCUGACGUAGCGACACCGCGUGAGCGAAGAAGCCCUUUGGGGUGUAAAGCUCUGUCAGCUGGAACGAAAACAAUGACGGUACCAGCAGAGGAAGCAUCGGCUAACUACGUGCCAGCAGCCGCGGUAAGACGUAGGAUGCGAGCGUUGUCCGGAUUUAUUGGGCGUAAAGCGUUCGUAGGUGGUUUGUUAAGUUUGGUGUUAAAGAUCGGGGCUCAACCCUGGGACUGCACUGAAUACUGGCAGACUCGAGUGUGGUAGAGGCUAGUGGAAUUCCCAGUGUAGCGGUGAAAUGCGUAGAUAUUGGGAAGAACACCGGUGGCGUAGGCGACUAGCUGGGCCAUAACUGACGCUGAGGAACGAAAGCCAGGGGAGCGAAUGGGAUUAGAAACCCCUGUAGUCCCAUG